rnacentral:misc_RNA from 1 species
GAUGAAGAACGCAGCGAAAUGCGAUAAGUAAUGUGAAUUGCAGAAUUCAGUGAAUCAUCGAAUCUUUGAACGCACCUUGCACCCUUUGGCAUUCCGAAGGGUAUGCUCGUUUGAGUGUCAUUGUACUCUCACUCUCCCGAUGCUUUUGGAUCGGGAGUGGUGGACUUGGGUGUUGCUGCUUUGCUGUGGCUCGCCUCAAAUGGAGUAGUGCAACUCUUGGUUGGACAUAGUACGGCGUGAUAAGUGUCUUCGCCGGCACCUCAGUAGAGGGUGGCUGAUCGGGAGCUCUGCUUCAAACCGUCCUCGGACAACAACUGACAACUUGACCUCAAAUCGAGUAGGACUACCCGCUGAACUUAAGCAUAUCAAUAAGCGGAGGA